UGGGGAAUAUUGCGCAAUGGGCGAAAGCCUGACGCAGCGACGCCGCGUGAGGGAUGACGGCCUUCGGGUUGUAAACCUCUUUCAGCAGGGAAGAAGCGAAAGUGACGGUACCUGCAGAAGAAGCACCGGCUAACUACGUGCCAGCAGCCGCGGUAAUACGUAGGGUGCAAGCGUUGUCCGGAAUUAUUGGGCGUAAAGAGCUCGUAGGCGGUCUGUCGCGUCGGAUGUGAAAACCCAGGGCUCAACCCUGGGCCUGCAUUCGAUACGGGCAGACUAGAGUUCGGUAGGGGAGACUGGAAUUCCUGGUGUAGCGGUGAAAUGCGCAGAUAUCAGGAGGAACACCGGUGGCGAAGGCGGGUCUCUGGGCCGAAACUGACGCUGAGGAGCGAAAGCGUGGGGAGCGAACAGGAUUAGAUACCCUGGUAGUCCGACGCCGUAAACGUUGGGCGCUAGGUGUGGGAACCUUCCACGUUCUCCGUGCCGCA
rnacentral:rRNA from 1 species